GUGUCAGCCGCCGCGGUAAUACGGAGGGUGCAAGCGUUAUCCGGAUUUACUGGGUUUAAAGGGUGCGUAGGCUGUCAGAUAAGUCAGUGGUGAAAGGCUGUGGCUUAACCAUGGGAAUGCCAUUGAUACUGUUUGACUUGAAUGAAGAAGAGGAUAGCGGAAUGUGACAUGUAGCGGUGAAAUGCAUAGAUAUGUCAUAGAACAUCAAUUGCGAAGGCAGCUAUCUGGACUUUUAUUGACGCUGAGGCACGAAAGCGUGGGGAGCGAACAGGAUUAGAUACCCUCGUAGUCC
rnacentral:rRNA from 1 species